UACAGAGGGGUCAAGCGUUGUUCGGAUUCAUUGGGCGUAAAGGGCGCGUAGGCGGCGCGGUAAGUCGGGUGUGAAAUUUCGGAGCUUAACUCCGAAACUGCAUUCGAUACUGCGGUGCUUGAGGACUGGAGAGGAGACUGGAAUUCAUGGUGUAGCAGUGAAAUGCGUAGAGAUCAUGAGGAAGACCAGUGGCGAAGGCGGGUCUCUGGACAGUUCCUGACACUGAGGCACGAAGGCCAGGGGAGCAAACGGG
rnacentral:rRNA from 1 species